AACGUAGGGGGCAAGCGUUGCUCGGAUUCACUGGGUGUAAAGGGCGCGGAGGCGGAUAAACAAGUCGGAUGUGAAAUCCCGGGGCUCAACCCCGGAACUGCAUCCGAAACUGUUUAUCUGGAGUAGUGGAGAGGAAAGCGGAACUCCUGGUGUAACGGUGAAAUGUGUAGAUAUCAGGAGGAACGCCGAUAGCGAAGGAAGCUUUCCGGACACUUACUGACGCUGAGUCGCGAAAGCGUGGGGAGCAAACAGG
rnacentral:rRNA from 1 species